GCGUGCGUUUGGGAGGCGUUCGGUUUCGGCCGAGGUUCGGGGUCAGAGCUAGCCUCCCAAACUCUGC
rnacentral:sRNA from 12 species